UACGUAGGGUGCGAGCGUUGUCCGGAAUUAUUGGGCGUAAAGGGCUCGUAGGCGGUUUGUUGCGUCGGGAGUGAAAACACUGGGCUUAACCGAGUGCUUGCUUUCGAUACGGGCAGACUUGAGGCAUUGAGGGGGAGAACGGAAUUCCUGGUGUAGCGGUGAAAUGCGCAGAUAUCAGGAGGAACACCGAUGGCGAAGGCAGGUCUCUGGGCAUUAACUGACGCUGAGGAGCGAAAGCGUGGGGAGCGAACAGG
rnacentral:rRNA from 1 species